CCUCCUCUCUGUUUCUCCUGAAAGCAGGAAAUAAAUCUCCCGUGUGAAAGCUACCCUCCCUACCUGGGGAGCUAGAGACGUCCUCAUCACCAAAGCUGGGGAAAGCAGGGCCAAGUCGCCUGUGUAAACAAACCUUGUUACUUUUACUAAUUUACCACCUCAAGCCUAAAUUCUGCUCAAAUUCCUCACCAAUCACAUACCCCAAACCUAAGCUUCUUUAUCCCAUCAUUUCCUCACAAAUUUAUUGUUUCUUUGCGUAAAAAGAUGUAUAAACCACCUGCUUUGUUCACCCAGAGGGAAUCACUUCUCUAUGAUCUCCUGUGUGCACAUACUAAAUUGGUUUUUCUUCUGUUAAUCUGGUCUUAUGUCAAUUUUAUUAUUAGUCCAGCUGUAAGAACUCAAGAAGGGUAAUGGGGGGAAUUUCCCCUUUCCUGACCGUUUUGGUGAGCCAGCCAGGAACACUCACUGACUGGGAAAUUGCUUUCUCCCUUCUCCCUGAGGCUACUGCAGAUGAAGGAUCCUGGGACGACUGAGAGAAACCAUCAAAAAAAAAUCAUUGAGAACUAAAGCUUCCUUUUCCUGGAAGCCCUGUGAGCUGAAGCUGAACAAGUUGAUAUAAACUUAAGAGCGAUCACCACAAUAGCCUGUGUUUAGAGAAUCUCCAUGCCUGUUUCUGUGUAAGUCACUCAGAAAGUUUGCCUGAACACCCAAUAACAUCAUCAGAGACAUUUCAAACUGCAAAAGAUGCUUCAACCCUGACAUCUAGAAAUCUUGACUGACAUCCCCCUAGGUUCAGAAACUUAUUUACAAUUUGCUCCAACCAUUAACCACUGUUUUUAUUUGUUUCCAUAGAAAUGCCUCUUAUUAAAUACCUGAUUGCUGACAUUGUAGACCUAACUUUGAGAAUCUACCUGCAUCACCACCUCCUGAAAUGAGACACAAUUGUUUAACUUAACUGACUUAUUUUUAAGACUAAAAGAUUAAUUUAAUGACAUAAUGGAGCAGUCUGCCAGCUCAUAUUUUAAUAUGUGAAACUUCCAGGGAAGUUUCAGAGGGGGGAACUGUUGGAGCCCAGGAAAGGCUGCCCCAAAAUAUGUCACAACAACAUACUGAUUAUUUUAAACUAAAGUUACUUGUUCUGGCUUAAAUUUUUGACCCUCCUCUCUGUUCCCCCUGAAAGCAGGGAAUAAAUCUCCUGUGUGAAAUGUACCCUCCCCACACCAAGAGAUAGAGACAUCCUUAUCACCAAAGUUAGGGAAUUCAGGAUUGAGAAGCCUGUAUAAACAAACAUUGUUACUUUUACUAAUUUACUACCUCAAGCCUAAACUCUGCUCAAAUUCCUCACUAAUUACAUACCCUAAACCUAAGUUUUUUUAUUCUGUCAUUUCCUCACAAAUUUAUUGUUUCUUUGUAUAAAAAGAUAUAUAGAAACUGCCUGCUUUGUUCACUUGGAGGGCAUCAUUUCUCUAUGAUCUCCUGUGUGUACAUAGUAAAUUGGUUUUUCUCCUGUUAAUCUGGUCUUACGUCAACUUUAUUAUUAGUCCAGCCAUAAGAACUCAAGAGGGGUAAAGGAGAGAGAUCUCCCUCCCUGACAGAUGUUAACUAAACUUCUUGUGGUAAUUAGUUUGUAAUAUAUAUGUAUAUCAAAUCAUUAUGUUGUACACCUGAAGCUAAUACAAUGUUAUAGGUGAAUUAUAUUGCAAAGAAAUUUUUUAACAGUAAAACAGACUGAGAUGGUGAGAUCUAAUAUUUUUUAUUGGCAAGUGCAAAUUUAGUUCAUACAUGAAAUAUGUUACUAAAUUUGACUAAUAUUUAAAUUGAAAUGUAUUCUUUCUUUAAGGUGUGUUUGAAACUAUAGACUGAAUCCAGAAAAUAAUGAUUACUACUGGAUAUUACCAGAUUGUUACUAAAAGUAAUUUUGUUGUAUUGCAGAGUGGGGCAUUGUUAAAAAUGAUCCAUUCCAGGUGUUAAUUAUGUAAGGUUCAUCUUGGUCUUAAAUCUCAAAUAAUUUGCUUUCUAUCUCCGUUUCUGGGAGGCAUCCAGUUGCCGACAGUCACUCAAGAAAGGAAGGAAGGCUCUCUUUAUUACCAAACUGGAUCCUGCUUUAGAGAAGCUGGGAGAGUAGUGCUGGGCUGGGAAAAGCUUCUCAGAGGUGGAGAAAAUGCGAUCGGCAGUUCCAGCAGAGCAUGUGGGCUCUCUCCCGCUUCCUCCAGCACUGGGGCCAGAGGAGACCAUGCUCCAGUUUCCUAAUCCUCUCCAAGGCCAAGCUCAUCUUGCUUCUGAACCUUCCCUUCAUUUAAGGAGGCCCUGUUUGGGAAGAUCUUAGAGCACCUAACAAAUAGCAACUUUGGUCUGUGAGCUAGAGAGGCGUUCCAUUUGUGCAUCCAAGACAGAAGAGCAGGGUCAGGGAGGGACUACCCAUUGAAAGUCCCCGGUGAGUGUGUUCUGGCUACAACCUCACCCAUGAUAUAUGCAUCUGGUUAAAUCUAGGCAUAUGCUUCAAGAGUGGUAUAAUUUCAUCCCUCCUCUCUGCCAUGGAAUUUGGUCAGUUUUUACCCUUUGAAAGAAACUGACAAUGUUUCUGUCCCUUCUUGUUCACAUUGUUGCAAUGUUUCUGUUCCUGUGGUUUGUAGUGGAAGCAAAGUUCCCACCCCCAAAUUGGAAGGCCUCUGGAAAAGCAACAACAUCCCUUCGUUACUAGCAGUAUAGCCAACAGUUACUAGCAGUAUAGCCAACUCCAUUCCCCAAUAGCCUCCAAGCUAGUAACAACUAUUACCGUUUACUAAGGAUAGAACUGCAUGUCAAACAGUUGUAUCUGCUUCAUUUCUAAUUCUUGCAGUAACUUCAACUUAUAGGCGAAGAAACUAAAGCCCAGAGAAGUCAAGCAAAGUUGCUCAACCUCACCCAGCUAAUGAUAUGAACGGCAAGCCCACAUGUAGGGCUGAUGGAGUGCUGGGCACUCCUCCAGGCAUAGUAUAGAAAUGAGCUCAUUAUUCCUCCCUUACGUCUUUUUUUCAAAGUUUUUGUAAAUUAUUUUUGAUUGUUGCAAAAUCCAUAUAACAUAGAAUUUACCUUCUGAACCAUUUUUAAAUGUACAUCUCCAUGGCAUUAAUUGCAUGCACAUUGUCGCGCUAGCCUCACCACCAUCCAUCUCAGGAAUUAUUUUCAUCUUAUAAAAGUGAAACUCUGUACCCAUUAAAUAAUAGCUCCGCAUUCUCUCCUCCCCUCUUCCCCCAAAUAUUUUAAGGCAGAUACUAUUAUUAUCCAACCCCACCCUACAGAUGAGGAAACUGAGACCCAGAGAGAUUCAGUAACUUUCCCAGAUCACAGCUAGUAUGUGGCAGAGCUGUAAUUCACAGCUAGACAAUCAGGCUCCGGAAGUCCAGUGCUUAGCCACUCUAGGGCCCCAGGGACAUCUAACAGUGUUAUGCUAUACUGUCUUUCUGCUAUUAACCUAUCCAGAAGACCAAGAAACGGGGGCCUAGAAAGUUGAAACAAAUUGCAGAUAAAUCCUUGUAAAGGCAGAAGAGGGAUUUGCAUUCAGACCCCGUGGAUCUCAAGCUGCUUAGCCUGUGGCUUCCUGCAGGAUGAUUAGAUUAGAGCAGCGACCAUAUGCCCCUUGAGUCCUGCUCUCUGCUUCCAUCCAUACCCCAAAGCAGCUCAGGUCCUCCCCCCUCAGUCCUGUGUGAAGUCAUGGGCUCCAGCUUGCUUGUGAUGAAGGAAGUGAACUGCAGGUUCUGGCCAGUGAGUAGUAGGCUGGGCCCCAACUGGGACAUCCUGACUUGACCCUUCUGUACCCUGAGGGGAUGCUGUCUGUGCUAGAAUAGCCUGUGCUCUCCAUAGCUGCUGAGGAAGCCCCUCUUCACCUUUCCAGGCCAGAACUUACCUCUCUCACACCUCUGUCACCUAUCUAACACUGAAUGGAAGACCAGCUGGACCCUUACCUAGCACCUGCAUUCAAGUGGGUGGCGUCAAGGAGGUAGCACUGUCCUGCACACACGUUUCACAUCCUCAUCCUUAUUUACUUCUUCUAGCUUUUUCUUCCUGUUUCCAGCCCUUAAAAUGACCAGCCCUGAGGAAGAGCAGCUUCACUAUGACAGUUGAUAGGAGGUUUUUCCAGUUGAUCAAUGUCAGCUUGGCACCCUUCCUGGGUAAGGUAGAACCUUAGAGCUCUAAUUCGUCAGCACAUUCUAUGAGCUUUCCCCAGAAUAAAUGCCACCACUAACCUCUGCUCACCCCUCCACGAACAACACCCUAGUCCAAGCCCCAUGUUCCUCGCCUGGCGAGCACUCAGACCCCUCUCAACCCUGACACCUCCCAGGCACAAGUGGCCAGAGUCAGCCUUUAAAAAGUCAGUCAGAGCCUCUAAGAUCAGGAACAAGACAAGGACGCUCACUUUCACCACUUAUAUUCAGCAUAGUACUGGAGUUCUAGCUGGAGCAAUUAGGCAAUAAAUAAAUAAAUAGAUAGCAUCCAAGUGGGAAAGGAAGAAGUAAAAUUAUCUCUGUUCACAGGCGACAUGAACUUGUAUGUAGAAAACCCUAAAGAUUCCACAAAAAUCUGUUAGACCUAAUAUACUCAUUUAGCAAAGUUGAAUCAACACACAAAAAUCAGUUGUAUUUCUAUACACUAACAAUGAACAAUCUGAAAAGGAAAUUAAUAUAACAAUGCUACUUACAAUAGCAUCAAAAAGAAUAAAAUACUUCAGGAAUAAACUUAACUAAGGAAGUGAAAGACUUGUACACUGAAAACUAUAAAACAUUGCUGAAAGAAAUUAAAGAAGACACAAAUAAAUGAAAAUACACCCUGGUCAUGGAUUGGAAGACUUAAGAUUGCUAAAAUGUCCACGCCACCCAAAGCGAUCUACAGAUGCAGUGCAAUCCCUACCAAAAUACCAACAAGGUUUUUUCAGAAAGAGAAAAACCCACCCUAAAAUUCAUAUGGAAUUUCAAGAACAAAGCUGGAGGACUUAUACUUCCUGAUUUCAAAACUUACUACAAAGCCACAGUAAUCAAAACAGUGUGGUGCUAGUACAAAGAGAGACACGUGGACCAGUAGAAUAGAAUAGAGAGCCUAGAAAUAAACGCUUGCAUAAAUGGUCAAAUGAUUUUUGACAAAAGUGCCAAGACCACUCAAUGGGGAUAAAUCAGUCUUUUCAGCAAAUGAUUGUUGGGAAAACUGAAUAUUGACAUGCAAAUCAUGAAGUUGGACGCUUACCUUUCACCAUACACAAAAUCAAAAGUUAAUUCAAAAUGAGUCAAAGACCUACACACAAGAACUAAAACAGUAAAAUUCUUAGAAGAAAACAUUGAGGGAAAGCUUCACGGUGAGAUUUAUCAGUGAUUUCUUGGAUAUCAUAAGAAACGCAUAGGCAAGAAAAGAAAAAAAUAGAUAAAUCAGCUACAUCAAAAUCUAAACCUUCUGUGUAUCAAAGUACACAACUACUAGAGUGAAAAGUGAACCCAUGAAUGGGAGAAAGUAUUUGAAAAUCAGAUAUCUGAUGAGGGGUUAAUAUCUAGAAUAUAUAAAGAACUCCUACAACUCAAUAACAACAAAACAAAUGAUGCAAUUAAAAAAUGAGCAAAGAACUUGAGUAGACAUUUCUCCAAAGAAGACGAACAAACGACUAACAAACACAUGAAAAGAUGCUCAACGUCACUAAUCAUUAGGGAAAUGCAAAUCCAAACCACAACUAUUAGGAUGGCUAUUAUUAAAAAAAAAAACAACCCAGAAAAUUUGUCAAUAAGGAUGUGGAGAAAUUAGAACCCUUGUGCAUUGCUGGUGUGAAUAUACAAUGGUGCAGCCUCUGUGGAAAACUGUAUGGUGGUUCCUCAAAUAGUUAAAUAUGGAAUUCCCACAUGAUCUAGCAAUUCUACUUCAGGGUAUAUAUUCAAAAGAAUCGAAAGCAGAACUCAGAGAUAUUUGUACACCCAUGUUUAUAGCAGCAUUAUUCACCAUAGCCAAAUGGUGGAGACAACCCAAAUGUCCAUUAAUAGAUGAAUGGAUAAAAUAAAAUGUGGUAUAAUCCGUAAAAUGGAAUAUUAUUCAGCCUUAAAAAGGAAAGAAAUUCUGACACAUAUGACAACAUGGAUGGACCUUGAGAACAAUAUGCUAAGUGAAAUAAACUAGUCACAAAAGGAUAAAUACUGUAGAUUCCACUUAUAUGAGUUACCUAGAGUAGUCAUAUUCGUAGAAACAGAAAGCAGAAUGGUGAUUGCCAUGACCUGAGGGGAGGAGGGAAUGGGGAGUUGCUUAGUAGAUACAGAGUUCCAGUUUUUCAAUAUGUAGAGAGUUCUGGAGAUGGAUGGUGGUGAUGGUACACAACAAUGUGAAUAUACUGAACCAUAUACUUAAAAAUUAUUAAGAUGGGAACUUUAUGUUAUAUGUAUUUUACAACAAAAAAGAAAAGUCAAUCAGACCAUUUUGCAUGACGUCUCUGAGUCCCUCGUGGUUUUCCACCUCACUCAGAAUAAAAUCCAAACUCUGUCCCUGAGCUGAGAGGGCCCCAGGUUCAGCCACACAGGCUCUGCUUUCCCUGAACGUGCCCAGUACAUCCCGUCUUGGGGCCCUUGCUCUUCCUCUUUGUUCCAUCUUCAUGGCAGGCUCUUUUCCCAGAUAAUUGCAUGGCCCAUUCCUUUAUUUCAUUCAGGACUCCACAUAAACAUCACUUCCUUUGACCAUUAUAUUUAACAUAGCACAUCCCUCAAACCCCGUAUCAUACUUUAUUUUCUUCACAACUUUCUUCAGUAUCUGGCAUUAUCUUAACCAUUCAUUAAUGUCUUUAUUGUCUGUCUCCAUCACUAAAAUGAGAACUCCACAAGGCUAGAGACUUUGCCUUGCUCAUUUCUGUGUCCCCGCUGCCUAGAACAG
rnacentral:lncRNA from 1 species